AUUAAAUUUUAUCAGUGGGAGGAAUUAACACAACUUACAUAUUGUAUAUUGUUUUUGUUUUAUUUAUUUUUUAUUUAUGUUUUCUUGCUGAAAACGGAGUAGCAGCAAACAAAGGGAGAAGUAAUAAAAUUUGAUACACUUUUGCUUGCUAUCAAGAAUUUUGCGCACGGCAGCACUGAUGUAUGUCACUAACGGAGAAUAUGUAAUAUAUACCCACACAGACGUACGCUACAGCUGGACAUAAAAAUAGGUGGUGCGGGUGAAAUUUGUACAAUUUAAAAAGUUUAUAUAUUUUUCUAUAAUUUAAGUCUGCAUAUGAAUAACAUUUUCAUAAACCACGGGCCGCGCAACCUCACAUUAAAGAUAUUGAAACCAAGUUGCAGAAUUCUGUGGAGGAAAAUAUAAAUAAAAAUGGUUGAGUUCUUAUGCAGGAAUAGUGCCAAAAAGCAAAAAAGGUCAAAAAGUUAUAUUUGAUUUGAUUUGAAUCAAAUACCCAUUUGAACAGGAUUUGUAUAUUUAAUAUAAAACUUAAUAUUGCAGAAUUGAAAGUCUGUUUCGAAUCAAUAACUAAUUUAAUAAAGAAAUAAAUCUUCAAAAAGCAUAAAAUUUAUAUAUAUGGAUAUAUUUUUCGAAAGAUAUUUAGGGUAGAUACAAAUGUAAA